ensembl:lncRNA
CUGCACUGAAUGAGCUGCAAGGAGCUCAUAGUCAUGCCGGUCCAAGACAGCUCAAGGGGAAGAGUUGGAAAGAACUGCUGCAAAUGAUAGCAAAUCAAGAAGUUAAUGUGGGAGCCUGCCCAUUAGAAGCAGACAGCGGGAGAGAGGUCUCUGAAAGAAAUCAGUGAGUUGGUAAUCAAAUUAAUAAGUGAUUUUUUAGCAGUAGUGGAAAAGUUAUUGUAACUGUUCCAUAGCAGGCAACCUCAGCUGCUGGAAAUUUACCUCUUGUGUGGAGCAUAAGGAGAGUCUUUUCCCCACUUAAUCCUCAAUACAAAGUGUGAUGAGGCUUAUUCAAGACCUGGCAGAGGCAGCUCUCCGGACCAGCAGCCUCUUACUCGCCCUUCAGCAGCACUGACCCUGCAGCAGCCCCACAUCACCCACAGAGCAGUAGUUUUAUUCUGCAUAAUCAGAGCCAGAAGAAAAAACCAUCAAUGAGCAAGGCAAUCUAAUCAGCAUUUUCCUCCACACGGCAGUUAAAGGAAGCGUACAACCUGAGACCGCGGCGAGCAGAGCUCAAUAUCAGAGCUCGAGACACUGGUCAAUCAAUGAAACCAAGCUACUCAAGUGAAGGGCAGAGCGUGUGCAGCUGCUGUGCCUGGGCUCCAGUUGGGCAUCCUGUCUGCUGAUGGACAGCUGGGAGUUUCCUCACCUCUGAAGUCUCACACUGACUGCCUCCAAGCUUUCCUAAAACACCUCACACUCCCCCAGCGCAGUCUCUGAACCUCCUGACUCUGGCAGUAUUUGUCCUUCCAGGAACACAUUAUGCCUCAGAGCUGUGAUGCACAGAGCUCCCAAGGACGUAAGGAGAGCCCAUAAGCACUGAGACAAACCCAGAACUUGUCAUUUUGCUCCAUUUUCUCAUCUAGAAAAUAUAGAUGUUAGAUAAAGUUGCGCUGGGCUCCUGUAACCUUCUCAUUGACAGGACAUCCCACUGCAGGAAUCCAUCCAUAGAAGAGCUCCUGAGCGAGUACAUGCCCUAUCUCACACUGCCGUGGUGAUUUAAAGACACUUCUGUGCCCACUCCCACUCCUGCUGCCCCUCUUGGAGGAUGGAUAAGCUGCACAUCUGCCCAGCGGUGAACAGGUUCUGCAGCCUUUGCCUGAUGAUGAGCUGCCUGUGCCAGCUUCAAUUAGCUGCAAGGAGCCAGAGAGCGGUAGGAGAUGAAUCCAACUUCGUGCUCUCCCCUCUGACCUGCCUCAUUACUGAAAGAAAGGGGCAGCCCAAAGCACGUCGAUGCAGAAAAGACCCGUUGGGUCCUGAGAUCCAUCAUGCUGCUGGAGGAAGGGUACGGCCUCUCCGAGGUCACAGCUGAGAUCAGCAAGUUUGGCUGUUUAAACAGUUUUGCAAGAAAAGAUGCUUUUGCUGUGGGAUUUGGGGUUGCUUUGGUCGGUUCCGCUUUUUCCCUGCGUCUGAUCCAGGCUGCCUGGAGGUAACCACGGUUUUGCCAAUGAUUUCACUGUAAUGGGAAUUUGAUCUUGAAGUACGCUGAGUUCACAGGCCUUAUAAACUAUAAUAUUUUGCACAUGUCUGCUCUCAAUCCGGACAGCCAGAGGGCUGAAGGUACAUUUCCUCACUGCAAACAGCAUGAAAUAGGUUUUGACUUAAAGGAGAGCCACAUUGCUGACAUUCGUGUCGUACCUUAGGGAGGGAAUGGAAGGAGAAUCGUGACCACCCACACUGUAUUGACUUUACUCCUUCUUUAACUAACUGGCAAACUUCUGAAAAUGUGCACAGUAGCCACUUUCUGAGAUACGAAAGCAAGCUCUAAAUUACGAUCCUCAAAUCACCAAUUCAGAGCCCUUAGAUAUAUAUAUUUUUCUCUGUUUCUUCCACUAUAAUUUCCGGGCUGGAGCUCCGGCCAUUAAUAGCAGCUACAUCAUUACGCUGCCGUGACACUCCGGCAGCACCCUCAUCCAUUUCAGUCAUUGAUCCGCUAAUGCGCGCCGGAUGAGAAAGGAAAAGGUCCCACUCAUUCAUCCUGCCCUCCCUCCUCCUCCUCUCACCAGGUGGCGACCACUCACCCUGUGCUUUAAAUCCCGAUCGGAUUUCAGAUGCUCAGUGUUAAUUGCCUCAGUACAAGGACUGACCCCGGACAGCAAAACUAAAAUUAAGGUAACAGGGCCAUAGAAGUGGGUGAGAUGCUACAGAAGUGGCUCUGCAGCUGCUUCCCGUGGUUACAGUCUGCGGGCAGCAUUGGAAAUGGCAAAUGAGAGCUGGAGCCGUGAAGCAUGCAUGGGGUAUGAAGGUGAGCCAGGAAAAGAGGAGAAGAAAGGCUAAAGAAAUGAGGCAAUAAGGAGAUCAAAGGUGCAGCGACAUGCUGCUGCAGGAGUGGCACCUUAAGUAGCAUCAACUGCACAAGUAACACUGUAAUUCCUGCUGUGUGUGAGACCAGACAACUCCUUCCUAUGGGCAACCUGUUCUAGCAGGGGCAUCCAGCCCACAGCAGGGGCUGGAACUGGGUGAUGUGUAAGGUCCCUUCCAACUCAAGCCAUUCUGUGAUCCUGUGACCUACAGUAAACCCACGCAGCAGCUCUGUGUCGAUGUUAUGAGCCACAAAGAUACUGAGCUGAAAGAUAUAUACUGAGCUGAAAGAUAUGUUGGUGAUGCUUGUAGCUCCUUGGGAUCUUCUAACCCAGCAACUGGAUUCUUCUAAUCUAUCCAAGCAGCCUAUGGGCUGAUUCCUCCUUUCCCCAUCCACGUGUUGCUUGGUACAUCUGUUCUUUUGUUCUAUUUUUCCUUAUCCUUAUAUUGCUCAUUUUGGGGAUCAAAGGAUAAAGGAAAUAAAAAUCCUGUUAGUUCUCAAAGGUCCCCACAGCAGUAGAUAAUUGGUUUCCAAUCAAGCCCAGCCUGCCUUUGAUCUCCAGCUUGCACAGAACACUGUGCUCAGCCACAAGCAUGUGUUCAGUAGCACUACCAGGAGAUCUAAUUUUGAACAUCCGCAAUUACCUGCGCAGCGGCACUUAUAACAGAUGAGAAGCGCUGAUAACAAUGCUCUGUUUUUGUGCCAUCUCACGUUAAUGAGACAGCACACCUUUCUAAGAGGGGCUGUCAGUAACACUGGCAUAGCGUGGGGCCGUGCAUCCAUCCUCCUCCUCCCCGAUUCUCCAUAGGGAAGCCAAACAGUAAUGCGCUGCCCGUUCCCACCAUGAAAUGCUCUUGUUGUUGUUUAUCUUUCAGCAAAAGCAAGUCACAGUGCCCAGCAGCAAUGGAAGGGAAUGUUUUAAAGCCAGCUUUGCCACCAGAAGAACUGCAGUAUCAAACAGUGUGCCCUCAUUUGCCUUAGCAAGCAGCCCAUCUGUGCUGUUGCUUCUAACCUCCAUGCCCUUCCCCAGCGCACUGAGUACCCCUCUCUUCCUGCUCCCCCCCCAACCUGACCCCACUAAGACAUACCAGCCGUUUUGUUGCCAUCUCAAGGCAUAAGAAGUGCAGCCUGGGGAUGCAGAGUGCAGGAGACACACAGGGAUGUUCUCAGGCAUACCCAAACCGGCAGCUGACUGUUUCUUUAAAUAAACAGUAUACAUUCAUUUAGCUGAAAAUAGGUCUCCUGUCAAGCUCCUACCCUAGAGCAACUACCAGUUGCACUGUCAAAAUCGCUCUCUGUGGCUCUGAAUAGGUUUCUUAAUGAAAGAGCAACAUUAGCUCUUUAGAACAUUUUGUCCCUGAAGGAUGCAGCAGCAGCAGCCGCUGAAUGAUUUCUGGCUCAGAGAUGCUUACAAAUGGGAGGAAACAUAAUGGUUUAAAAACACGAGUAUCAGCUCCCUGGAACUGCUUUGGAGCAGCGAUUUGGGAAGCCAGGAGAAAAAUGGAUGGUUCAGAGCGGUACCCGCUGAUGGUCGCUGCUUCCACAAGCAUGCUGAGCCCCAGGGAAUAACUGCGCGUGGGCACAGUGUCACCGAACCAACGGGAGACGGGAAGGAUUUGGGACAGCACCCAAAGAAAGACACGUUCUGACGAAAUGAAAUUUUAAUGCCCACUGGUUGCUGGAUUAAAUAAUGAUGAGCAUCCGAAUGAAACGCUCUGUUUCUAUUCCUGCAGUCUGUUCAUAGUGACUGUCAGGGCGGUCACUCUUCAUUCUGGUUAAACUUGGGGCACUCGCAGAAUGGGGUUGGACCUGAGCAGAGAGGGCUGGACUCAAAGCAAUGAAACAGAGCCUUUGUGGUGCAGCACGAGGCAGCACUCACGUGUCCUCUUCUUCCUUUAAGGGCUGAAGUCUCUGAACAGGGGCACGGGCACCACUUAUACAUUGAGAGAGAUUUACACACAGCCUUGUGCAUCUCCCAGUCUCACUUUCACACUGAUUUAAAUGUCAUUCUUUGGCAGGAAAACCCCACGAGGAGCUCUUGCACAGCAUGGUGGGUAUCAGGGUCAAGAACAAUAAAAGAGAGGACUUUUGUCAUUGGCAGACAGUACUAUUUGUCCCUGCUUUGGCCAGAUGGCGGCGGGGGAAUGGACUUUUCC